GAUUUUCAAAGCACUAGAAGACUCCAGAAUGGCAUAUAGAGUAAGAGGUAUUACUGCUUCUAACAGCGGAUAAUUCAAAACCUCCUGGACCCUUUUCUGACCAGACUCUCAGGGCUGAGAACUCUGUGAAAGAAACCGGAAGAUUUUCACUUUUGCGACAAAAGGCAAAAAACAAAAAUAGCAUUCAGCAUUGAUUUUGCAACAGCCGUUACUGAGGCAGCCCUGAGGGGCUGGAGCAUCUCCGUGUCAAGCUGCCAGAGUGUGGACAUGUGUCUGUGUUUACUGUUGAAUUCAGGUUGGCCUCAGUCUGCACCGAUUGGCUCUGGUCUCUCUGGUAGAGUAUGUCCCCUCGGC